rnacentral:rRNA from 1 species
UCCAUCAUGCUACACAGAACACACCCAAUCUCAUCAGAUUUUGGAAGCUAAGCAGUGUUAGGCCUGGUUAGUAUUUGGAUACAAGACUAUGAGAAAACUUGGAGGAU